AAGAGUAUAGUAUAAUGGUAGUACAAUGAUCUCCAAAGUCAUCAAGUUUUGGUUCAAAUCCGAAUACUCUUG
rnacentral:tRNA from 1 species